AAGUAAAAGUCGUAACAAGGUUUCCGUAGGUGAACCUGCGGAAGGAUCAUUAUCGUACAACGGAGGUGCGAGGGCUGUCGCUGACCUUUGAAGGUCGUGCACGCCCGUGCCCUCUCACAAUCCAUCUCACCCUUUGUGCAUCACCGCGUGGGUCCCCUUUGCGGGAGGGCUCACGUUUUCACAUAAAACUCGAUACAGUGUAGAAUGUUUUUAUUUUUGCGAUCACACGCAACAUCAAUACAACUUUCAACAACGGAUCUCUUGGCUCUCGCAUCGAUGAAGAACGCAGCGAAAUGCGAUACGUAAUGUGAAUUGCAGAAUUCAGUGAAUCAUCGAAUCUUUGAACGCACCUUGCGCCCCUUGGCAUUCCGAGGGGCACACCCGUUUGAGUGUCGUGAAAUCCUCAAAACCCUCUUCUUUCGGGAAAAGGCGUUUUGGACUUGGAGGUUCGAUGCUCGCUUUCGCCUUUGAAAGCGAGCUCCUCUCAAAUGAAUCUAGUGGGGUCUGCUUUGCUGGUCCUUGACGUGAUAAGAUGUUUCUACGUUUUGGAUUUGGCGUCGACGAUGCCCCUGCUUCCAAUCGUCUCAUGGACAACGAUGGUGCUUCCGGUCACCGCCAUCUACAUCGGCGGGAGGCUGGACCCACGAAAAAACCUUGACCUCAAAUCGGGUGAGACUACCCGCUGAACUUAAGCAUAUCAAUAAGCGGAGAAG
rnacentral:rRNA from 1 species